CAAGAAUUCAGAUGAAGGACAGUUUACAAAGGACAAGAAUUGGAACAUGAACUUACUGGGAAUUCUUCUGACUUUCAUCCUCACCAUUCUAGCACUUGCCACCAUAGUAGCUCUACUCCUGAAAUAUAUACAACGCAAGAAAAACUUGUUUGGACCUUGCAAUGCAGAACAACAAGAAUGUCUUCUGCAUUGCCAGGAACAGAGAGCUCUAUGUGACAGUUCCAUCUGCCCGACAGAGACCAGUUUUCUCCAACAACUGGCAUCCUUACCACAAGCACAAUCUACGAAGUCCCUCUACCUUCCAAGUGACACAGGAAUGUUUAGAAGAUCAGUAUCACCAGUGAGAACUGAAGAAUUCCAAAAUCUAUCACAGAAGACACAAAAAUGCAUAUGUAAGUUGUCUAUGUCUCAAUUUGAAUAUCUCUUGUUCCUUUGCAAUCUCAAGAAUAUUUCUCUAACUUUUAUUUAUCUUAACUUAUGCAAUGGCCUGAAAUCCAAAAAAAAAGAUUUGUAGGGUGAUUCUAUUGCCAACACCCCUAGCUUGGAGACCAAAAGGCCAAUUUUAAGGUGGUUACCUGUCCCUGACAUAUGUGAUCUUGUUGUGAGGACCAAAUGAGUUAACAUAAAUAAAGUGCUUUUCAACCCUUAAACUGAUAUUUAA
rnacentral:lncRNA from 1 species